AACAAACGCUGGCGGCGCGUUUUAAGCAUGCAAGUCGGACGGCAAGAGCUGUAGCAAUAUGGCUCCUAGAGUGGCGAACGGGUGAGUAACACGUAGGUGAUCUACCCUUGGAUGGGGGAUAGUCCGUGGAAACACGGGGUAAUACCGCAUGAGGCCUAGUGGGUAAAGCCAUGAGGUGAAAGGUGCAAUUGCACCGUCUGGGGAUGAGCCUGCGGUCCAUUAGGUAGUUGGCGGGGUAAGGGCCCACCAAGCCUACGAUGGAUAGCCGGCCUGAGAGGGUGUACGGCCACACUGGAACUGAGACACGGUCCAGACUCCUACGGGAGGCAGCAGCUAAGAAUCUUCCGCAAUGGGGGAAACCCUGACGGAGCGACGCCGCGUGGACGAUGGAAGCCGUAAGGUUGUAAAGUCCUUUUCCUGGUGAAGAAUAGCCUGAGGAGUGGAAAGCCUCGGGGAUGACGUUAGCCAGGGAAUAAGCCCCGGCCAAUUACGUGCCAGCCGCCGCCGUAACAC
rnacentral:rRNA from 1 species